UAGGGAAUAUUGCGCAAUGGACGAAAGUCUGACGCAGCAACGCCGCGUGGAUGAUGAAGCAUUUCGGUGUGUAAAAUCCUGUCAGCAGGGAAGAACCGUACGAAAAGUAACUGUUUCGUGCCUGACGGUACCUGCAGAGGAAGUCCCGGCUAACUCCGUGCCAGCAGCCGCGGUAAUACGGGGGGGACAAGCGUUGUUCGGAUUUACUGGGCGUAAAGGGCGCGUAGGCGGGCUAUCAAGUCGGAUGUGAAACCCUCGAGCUUAACUCGAGGCCUGCAUUUGAUACUGAUAGUCUUGAGUACAGGAGAGGAAAGUGGAAUUCCAGGUGUAGCGGUGAAAUGCGUAGAUAUCUGGAAGAACACCAGUAGCGAAGGCGGCUUUCUGGACUGAUACUGACGCUUAAGCGCGAAGGCUUGGGGAGCAAACAGG
rnacentral:rRNA from 1 species